CGUGGUCCAUCCUGAUUCUUGCUUCAUGUGUUUAUGGCGUGUCCAAACCAAGUCUCGGUGCGCGUCAGUCUGGGCUCAAAAGCGGUGACGCAACGGAUAUGUUUCCUUAUAAGGACUGGUUGAUCCUGCCUGAAUACCUGAAACUCGGGAGAGUUUCUCUGCCGGUGAUCUGUCUGCUCGUUCUCAGUAGAACUCUGGAGAGCUGUCUCUGUCAAGUAUCUGGCUGCCCGCUCGCAGAAGAUUACUGGAAGGAAACUCAAUCUGUGAUCUGCCUGCACUCUGUAAGCUCUGCCUCCGCCUCUGCCCUCAGCCUGUCGACAACCUCUGGACCCUCAAGGUUCCCUUCCUCUGCAACUUUGCUCCACUCCUGAACAGCAGUGAACCCACUCGUGACCAGUCAAGCCCCCUCUUGGAUCUGAUCAAACUGUGUACAUUUAUUGAACCCCCUCGUGACCAGUCAAGUCCCCUCCUGGAUCUGAUCCAAC